AUUGAACGCUGGCGGCAGGCUUAACACAUGCAAGUCGAACGAGCGGCGGACGGGUGAGUAAUGUCUGGGAAACUGCCUGAUGGAGGGGGAUAACUACUGGAAACGGUAGCUAAUACCGCAUACCAUCAGAUGUGCCCAGAUGGGAUUAGCUAGUCGGUGGGGUAAUGGCUCACCAAGGCGACGAUCCCUAGCUGGUCUGAGAGGAUGACCACCCACACUGGAACUGAGAUACGGUCCAGACUCCUACGGGAGGCAGAAGUGGGGAAUAUUGCACAAUGGGCGCAAGCCUGAUGCAGCCAUGCCGCGUGUGUGAAGAAGGCCUUCGGGUUGUAAAGUACUUUCAGCGAGGAGGCGUUACUCGCAGAAGAAGCACCGGCUAACUCCGUGCCAGCAGCCGCGGUAAUAC
rnacentral:rRNA from 1 species